GGUUAAGCGACUAAGCGUACACGGUGGAUGCCCUGGCAGUCAGAGGCGAUGAAGGACGUGCUAAUCUGCGAUAAGCGUCGGUAAGGUGAUAUGAACCGUUAUAACCGGCGAUUUCCGAAUGGGGAAACCCAGUGUGUUUCGACACACUAUCAUUAACUGAAUCCAUAGGUUAAUGAGGCGAACCGGGGGAACUGAAACAUCUAAGUACCCCGAGGAAAAGAAAUCAACCGAGAUUCCCCCAGUAGCGGCGAGCGAACGGGGAGCAGCCCAGAGCCUGAAUCAGUGUGUGUGUUAGUGGAAGCGUCUGGAAAGGCGCGCGAUACAGGGUGACAGCCCCGUACACAAAAAUGCACAUGCUGUGAGCUCGAUGAGUAGGGCGGGACACGUGGUAUCCUGUCUGAAUAUGGGGGGACCAUCCUCCAAGGCUAAAUACUCCUGACUGACCGAUAGUGAACCAGUACCGUGAGGGAAAGGCGAAAAGAACCCCGGCGAGGGGAGUGAAAAAGAACCUGAAACCGUGUACGUACAAGCAGUGGGAGCACGCUUAGGCGUGUGACUGCGUACCUUUUGUAUAAUGGGUCAGCGACUUAUAUUCUGUAGCAAGGUUAACCGAAUAGGGGAGCCGAAGGGAAACCGAGUCUUAACUGGGCGUUAAGUUGCAGGGUAUAGACCCGAAACCCGGUGAUCUAGCCAUGGGCAGGUUGAAGGUUGGGUAACACUAACUGGAGGACCGAACCGACUAAUGUUGAAAAAUUAGCGGAUGACUUGUGGCUGGGGGUGAAAGGCCAAUCAAACCGGGAGAUAGCUGGUUCUCCCCGAAAGCUAUUUAGGUAGCGCCUCGUGAAUUCAUCUCCGGGGGUAGAGCACUGUUUCGGCAAGGGGGUCAUCCCGACUUACCAACCCGAUGCAAACUGCGAAUACCGGAGAAUGUUAUCACGGGAGACACACGGCGGGUGCUAACGUCCGUCGUGAAGAGGGAAACAACCCAGACCGCCAGCUAAGGUCCCAAAGUCAUGGUUAAGUGGGAAACGAUGUGGGAAGGCCCAGACAGCCAGGAUGUUGGCUUAGAAGCAGCCAUCAUUUAAAGAAAGCGUAAUAGCUCACUGGUCGAGUCGGCCUGCGCGGAAGAUGUAACGGGGCUAAACCAUGCACCGAAGCUGCGGCAGCGACGCUUAUGCGUUGUUGGGUAGGGGAGCGUUCUGUAAGCCUGUGAAGGUGUACUGUGAGGUAUGCUGGAGGUAUCAGAAGUGCGAAUGCUGACAUAAGUAACGAUAAAGCGGGUGAAAAGCCCGCUCGCCGGAAGACCAAGGGUUCCUGUCCAACGUUAAUCGGGGCAGGGUGAGUCGACCCCUAAGGCGAGGCCGAAAGGCGUAGUCGAUGGGAAACAGGUUAAUAUUCCUGUACUUGGUGUUACUGCGAAGGGGGGACGGAGAAGGCUAUGUUGGCCGGGCGACGGUUGUCCCGGUUUAAGCGUGUAGGCUGGUUUUCCAGGCAAAUCCGGAAAAUCAAGGCUGAGGCGUGAUGACGAGGCACUACGGUGCUGAAGCAACAAAUGCCCUGCUUCCAGGAAAAGCCUCUAAGCAUCAGGUAACAUCAAAUCGUACCCCAAACCGACACAGGUGGUCAGGUAGAGAAUACCAAGGCGCUUGAGAGAACUCGGGUGAAGGAACUAGGCAAAAUGGUGCCGUAACUUCGGGAGAAGGCACGCUGAUAUGUAGGUGAAGCGACUUGCUCGUGGAGCUGAAAUCAGUCGAAGAUACCAGCUGGCUGCAACUGUUUAUUAAAAACACAGCACUGUGCAAACACGAAAGUGGACGUAUACGGUGUGACGCCUGCCCGGUGCCGGAAGGUUAAUUGAUGGGGUUAGCGCAAGCGAAGCUCUUGAUCGAAGCCCCGGUAAACGGCGGCCGUAACUAUAACGGUCCUAAGGUAGCGAAAUUCCUUGUCGGGUAAGUUCCGACCUGCACGAAUGGCGUAAUGAUGGCCAGGCUGUCUCCACCCGAGACUCAGUGAAAUUGAACUCGCUGUGAAGAUGCAGUGUACCCGCGGCAAGACGGAAAGACCCCGUGAACCUUUACUAUAGCUUGACACUGAACAUUGAGCCUUGAUGUGUAGGAUAGGUGGGAGGCUUUGAAGUGUGGACGCCAGUCUGCAUGGAGCCGACCUUGAAAUACCACCCUUUAAUGUUUGAUGUUCUAACGUGGACCCGUAAUCCGGGUUGCGGACAGUGUCUGGUGGGUAGUUUGACUGGGGCGGUCUCCUCCUAAAGAGUAACGGAGGAGCACGAAGGUUGGCUAAUCCUGGUCGGACAUCAGGAGGUUAGUGCAAUGGCAUAAGCCAGCUUGACUGCGAGCGUGACGGCGCGAGCAGGUGCGAAAGCAGGUCAUAGUGAUCCGGUGGUUCUGAAUGGAAGGGCCAUCGCUCAACGGAUAAAAGGUACUCCGGGGAUAACAGGCUGAUACCGCCCAAGAGUUCAUAUCGACGGCGGUGUUUGGCACCUCGAUGUCGGCUCAUCACAUCCUGGGGCUGAAGUAGGUCCCAAGGGUAUGGCUGUUCGCCAUUUAAAGUGGUACGCGAGCUGGGUUUAGAACGUCGUGAGACAGUUCGGUCCCUAUCUGCCGUGGGCGCUGGAGAACUGAGGGGGGCUGCUCCUAGUACGAGAGGACCGGAGUGGACGCAUCACUGGUGUUCGGGUUGUCAUGCCAAUGGCACUGCCCGGUAGCUAAAUGCGGAAGAGAUAAGUGCUGAAAGCAUCUAAGCACGAAACUUGCCCCGAGAUGAGUUCUCCCUGACUCCUUGAGAGUCCUGAAGGAACGUUGAAGACGACGACGUUGAUAGGCCGGGUGUGUAAGCGCAGCGAUGCGUUGAGCUAACCGGUACUAAUGAACCGUGAGGCUUAACCUU
rnacentral:rRNA from 1 species